AAUUCGAUUGUGGGGAAUCUUGCGCAAUGCGCGAAAGCGUGACGCAGCAACGCCGCGUGGGGGAAGACGGCCUUCGGGUUGUAAACCCCUUUCAGUUGGAACGAAGCUUCGCCGGUGAAUAGCCGGCUGGAGUGACGGUACCUUCAGAAGAAGCCCCGGCUAACUACGUGCCAGCAGCCGCGGUAAUACGUAGGGGGCAAGCGUUGUCCGGAAUUAUUGGGCGUAAAGAGCGUGUAGGCGGUUCGGUAAGUCCGCUGUGAAAGUCCAGGGCUCAACCCUGGAAAGCCGAUGGAUACUGCCGGGCUAGAGUCCGGAAGAGGCGAGUGGAAUUCCUGGUGUAGCGGUGAAAUGCGCAGAUAUCAGGAGGAACACCGAUGGCGAAGGCAGCUCGCUGGGACGGUACUGACGCUGAGACGCGAAAGCGUGGGGAGCAAACAGGAUUAGAUACCCUGGUAGUCCACGCCGUAAACGAUGGGCACUAGGUGUGGGGGGUGUCGACUCCCCCCGUGCCGGCGCUAACGCAUUAAGUGCCCCGCCUGGGGAGUACGGCCGCAAGGCUAAAACUUAAAGGAAUUGACGGAAUCACUA
rnacentral:rRNA from 1 species